rnacentral:rRNA from 1 species
CUAACGACUCUCGGCAACGGAUAUCUCGGCUCUCGCAUCGAUGAAGAACGUAGCGAAAUGCGAUACUUGGUGUGAAUUGCAGAAUCCCGUGAACCAUCGAGUCUUUGAACGCAAGUUGCGCCCUAAGCCGUCAGGCCGAGGGCACGCCUGCCUGGGUGUCACGC